GGGGUGAGCUAUUGUGAUCACUCAGCGUCCGUCUGUCCAUCUGUCUGUCUGUAAACAAUUUGUAAACAUCUUCUUCUACUAAACCAUUGAGCCAAUUUCAACUAAAUUUCAUGUGGAGCAUCCCUAGGUCAUGGGACAAAAGAAUUGUUAAAAAAAAAUUUGAUCACAUAACCAAGAUGGCCGCCAUGACCAUAUAUGGUAAAAAACUUAAAAAAUCUUCUUGUCAGAAACCGCUCAUCAGAUUUUUUAAAAAUUUCACAGGGAUGACCUUUGAAGGCUCCCCUGAAAAAGUUGUUCAAAGAAAUUUGAUUCGUCAAAAAACAUGGCCGCAGGAGCUCGUUGAACUAUGCAUGUUUAUUCGUUUUUGCCUAUUUUGUGAAAACUUUCAAAAAUCUUCCACAUUUUUUGUCCGAUCCUUUCCAAAUUUGCACAGUGUCUUUAUAUCAAUGAGGACACGAACCCUACAAAAAACGAGCAUUAUUGGUCCAUGAAGUACAGAAUUACCUCCCCUUGAAUUGAGAAAAUGGUGUUUAUGCAAUAAAGUCCAAAUUUUUCAUCCAAUUCUUUCCAAACUUGUUUAUAUAUCAGAUUAAAGAGAAUAAAAUUUUCUUUAUUAUGGUUUUUCUUUCAUGAAAAUCCAUAAAGGAUAAGUGUUAUUAAUCGUUGCUUAAUUAAUGAACAAUGCGAAUUAUCGGUAUUGAUUUUUUUCCUGACAUGCCGUCCCAGAUAUUAACCGCUUUCAGCUGUAGACUGUGCAUCAAUACAUCGCCGUGUUAUUGACCUGAAAAAUUCAUACGCAGUCGGCAUUAACACCGGUCAUCGAGACAAAUUACUGAUGUGAAAACAAAUCGUACAUCGUAGAGGAUUAAAUAAACAAUUACAUCUGAUUAAAGAUUAAAGAUUGCUGCCGAUUUAAAUCAAUUUGAGUACUUUUUGCGUAUAUUUGAUGCCGAAUGGGAAGCUGUGUUUAGACUUAAGUUGAGAAAAAUGGCAACGAGAUACUUGCCUGUUGGUAGCUAAAGAAACUUCAGCGUACAGUUUAUAAUGGGUGGCCAUUCCCAGCUGUAGUCUACGGGCGGGUAGUGAACUGGUUGAGAAAAGUGGAAGCUUGUGGAAAAGCGGUUUGAGAAGUUUGUAAGAAAACCCUGAAUUAUCAGUCUUGUGGGAAGAAGGCAUUGCGUCUCCACGCAGAGGGCCCUUAUCACAUAAAGAAUAUAAGAACCAUCAAGACCAACCAGGUUUUAUCUGGUUCUUCAAAAGCAACACCUGCAGUCGAGUCCAUGCCAGACAGAGGGUGCAUGUGAAUGAAUUGCCUUUUGACUAAGUUUUGUGUGUUCCUUAUCAAAUACAUGAAGAUUUUUAAA